AGCAGCCGCGGUAAUUCCAGCUCCAAUAGCGUAUAUUAAAGUUGUUGCAGUUAAAAAGCUCGUAGUUGAAUUUCGAGAUCAAUUUGUCGGUCGUGCCUCGGUACGUACUGGCAUUAUUGAUUUCCCCCCUUCUGAAGAACCGCGAUGUCAUUAAUUUGGUGUCGUGGGGAAUCAGGACUGUUACUUUGAAAAAAUUAGAGUGUUUAAAGCAGGCGCACGCUUGAAUACAUUAGCAUGGAAUAAUGAAAUAGGACGUUUUGAUUCUAUUUUGUUGGUUUUCUAGGAUCGACGUAAUGAUUAAUAGGGAUAGUUGGGGGCAUUAGUAUUCAAUUGUCAGAGGUGAAAUUCUUGGAUUUUAUUGAAGACUAACUACUGCGAAAGCAUUUGCCAAGGAUGUUUUCAUUAAUCAAGAACGAAAGUUAGGGGAUCGAAGACGAUCAGAUACCGUCGUAGUCUUAAC
rnacentral:rRNA from 1 species